CCGGACUGGGAGCGGUCCGCGUCGCCCUAGAAAGCGCCUUCUGGGUUUGUUUCCAUUUUUAGUCGGGCGUGUGGCGUGCUGUCACCGACCUUCCUGCAGCUGCGCGAAGGUGUUUUCUGCAGGCGAAACCUAAAGCGCUGGAGUCCCGUUCUGUGCACCGAACAUUUUCACUUCACUAACGAGAAACAGAGUCUCUGGACCCUGACACAGCUCCGUGUGGUUAUUUGCACUCUUACAAGCUUGGAGCGGGUUAGGAGGCGAGCUCCCAUGGUAACCCUGGGCCCGCUCCAAGUCCUCCUGUUUCAUAAAAGCAUUCAGUGUGCUGUCAUCGGGACCUUGGCGUGCGGGACUCCUCCCCAACACAUCCAUUCUGGCAUUCCCGCCCCAUCCCCCAGGGAGACUAAUUUAAACAUUUCCUAGGCUUUAUUAAUUUUCAAGGGAGAAAGAUUUCUCACAUCAGGGUAAGAGGGAGAUUCUGACUCAGCAGCAGGCUUGUUGAGGCUUGCAAAAUGGAAGGGGGGAGAGAGCUUUCCACCGCAGUGCUCUCUCAGGAGCACUGAAAGGAUCGGAUCCUGUGUAUUUCCCUUUCUAUGGAAACAUUUUACUUAGGGAAAAGUGGUUGAAGGUGUCCAUAAAGAACAGUGAUCCAUACUACAUAAGAUAUGCAGUUCAUAUUCUAGUUUCACAAUUUUAACUUUUUUGUUGGAGCUUGGAAGUGAA
rnacentral:lncRNA from 1 species